rnacentral:tRNA from 1 species
GGAAACGUGCCUGAUUAAAGGGCUGUCUUGAUAAGACAAACAUAGAGACCAACACCCUCUCGGUUCCC